UACAGAGGUUUCGAGCGUUAGGCGGAAUCACUGGGCUUAAAGCGUGUGUAGGCGGAUCGUUAAGUGCCUUGUGAAAUCCCACGGCUCAACCGUGGAACUGCUUGGCAUACUGGCGGUCUUGAGCAACCUAGGGGCGAGCGGAACAAAUGGUGGAGCGGUGAAAUGCGUAGAUAUCAUUUGGAACGCCAAUGGUGAAAACAGCUCGCUGGGGGUUUGCUGACGCUGAGACACGAAAGCCAGGGGAGCAAACGGG
rnacentral:rRNA from 1 species